rnacentral:rRNA from 1 species
UUGGUUAAGUCCCGCAACGAGCGCAACCCUAUUGUUAGUUGCCAUCAUUCAGUUGGGCACUCUAGCGAGACUGCCGGUAAUAAACCGGAGGAAGGUGGGGAUGACGUCAAAUCAUCAUGCCCCUUAUGACCUGGGCUACACACGUGCUACAAUGGUUGGUACAACGAGUUGCGAGUCGGUGACGGCGAGCUAAUCUCUUAAAGCCAAUCUCAGUUCGGAUUGUAGGCUGCAAUUCGCCUACAUGAAGUCGGAAUCGCUAGUAAUCGCGGAUCAGCACGCCGCGGUGAAUACGUUCCCGGGCCUU